AAAAAAAAAACGUUUCGACAAAAAUUAAUUUAGUUCGGAUUUAUAGAGUCGCGGGAGCAGAUAUAUGCAUUAAAAAAAAGUCAUCAGAUCUCAAAACCAACAUAAAAUAAAAUAGAUGGUUCGUCAAUGUUAUAUAUCAAUCGUCCGGCCGUUUCGAUAUGAUAAAAUAGUAAGGGUGCGCUUAAAAAAAAAUAGUAGAGUAUUAUUUGUUUGGCGUGUGGCAUUUAUUAGUGCUCCACUACUCU